CCUACGGGUGGCAGCAGUGGGGAAUAUUGGACAAUGGGGGGAACCCUGAUCCAGCGACGCCGCGUGAGUGAAGAAGUAUUUCGGUAUGUAAAGCUCUAUCAGCAGGGAAGAAAGAAAUGACGGUACCUGACUAAGAAGCCCCGGCUAACUACGGGCCAGCAGCCGCGGUAAUACGUAGGGGGCAAGCGUUUUCCGGAUUUUCUGGGGGGAAAGGCGGCGUAGAUGGCGGUGUAAGUCUGGAGUGAAAGGCGGGGGCCUAACCCCCGGACUGCUUUGGAAACUGUAUGGCUGGAGUGAAGGAGAGGUAAGUGGAAUUCCUAGUGUAGCGGUGAAAUGCGUAGAUAUAAGGAGGAACACCAGUGGCGAAGGCGGCUUACUGGACUGUAACUGACGUUGAGGGUCGAAAGCGUGGGGAGCAAACAGGAUUAGAUACCCCUGUAGUC
rnacentral:rRNA from 1 species